ACUUGGAUUGAAGAAGUUCGAGACUCUGUCUUACCUGCCUGAUCUUGAUCAAACCCAAUUGGCGAAAGAAGUAGAGUACCUUCUCAGGAAGGGAUGGGUUCCCUGCCUUGAAUUCGACGUGCAUGACGGAUUCGUGUACCGUGAGAACCACAGGUCACCAGGAUACUACGAUGGACGCUACUGGACCAUGUGGAAGUUGCCCAUGUUUGGUUGCACCGAUGCGGCUCAGGUGAUUCAGGAGAUUGAGGAGGCCAAGAAGCACUACCCCGACGCAUUCAUCAGGGUUAUUGGCUUUGACAACGUCCGUCAAGUCCAGUGCAUCAGUUUCAUUGUCUACAAGCCCCCUAAGUUCUACUCUAGCUGAUUCCAUUCCCAGCUUUCUUGAGGCGAAUUUCCAGCAUUUGCCUUUUUCCACCUCGCUUCCACAUCACUUGGCUUUCAAUCCAAUUUCCCA
rnacentral:misc_RNA from 1 species